GACGAACGCUGGCGGCGUGCCUAACACAUGCAAGUCGAGCGAGUUGAUUCUCUUCGGAGAUGAAGCUAGCGGCGGACGGGUGAGUAACACGUGGGCAACCUGCCUCAUAGAGGGGAAUAGCCUUCCGAAGGGGAGAUUAAUACCGCAUAAGAUUGUAGCUUCGCAUGAAGUAGCAAUUAAAGGAGCAAUCCGCUAUGAGAUGGGCCCGCGGGGCAUUAGCUAGUUGGUGAGGUAACGGCUCACCAAGGCGACGAUGCGUAGCCGACCUGAGAGGGUGAUCGGCCACAUUGGGACUGAGACACGGCCCAGACUCCUACGGGAGGCAGCAGUGGGGAAUAUUGCACAAUGGGGGAAACCCUGAUGCAGCAACGCCGCGUGAGUGAUGACGGCCUUCGGGUUGUAAAGCUCUGUCUUCAGGGACGAUAAUGACGGUACCUGAGGAGGAAGCCACGGCUAACUACGUGCCAGCCGCCGCGGUAACAC
rnacentral:rRNA from 1 species